rnacentral:rRNA from 1 species
GAUGAACGCUAGCGGGAGGCCUAACACAUGCAAGCCGAGCGGUAUUGUUUCUUCGGAAAUGAGAGAGCGGCGUACGGGUGCGGAACACGUGUGCAACCUGCCUUUAUCUGGGGGAUAGCCUUUCGAAAGGAAGAUUAAUACUCCAUAAUAUAUUGAACGGCAUCGUUUAAUAUUGAAAGCUCCGGCGGAUAGAGAUGGGCACGCGCAAGAUUAGCUAGUUGGUGAGGUAACGGCUCACCAAGGCGAUGAUCUUUAGGGGGCCUGAGAGGGUGAUCCCCCACACUGGUACUGAGACACGGACCAGACUCCUACGGGAGGCAGCAGUGAGGAAUAUUGGUCAAUGGGUGCAAGCCUGAACCAGCCAUCCCGCGUGAAGGACGACUGCCCUAUGGGUUGUAAACUUCUUUUGUAUAGGGAUAAACCUACCCUCGUGAGGGUAGCUGAAGGUACUAUACGAAUAAGCACCGGCUAACUCCGUGCCAGCAGCCGCAGUAAUACGGAGGGUGCAAGCGUUAUCCGGAUUUAUUGGGUUUAAAGGGUCCGUAGGCGGACUUAUAAGUCAGUGGUGAAAGCCUGUCGCUUAACGAUAGAACUGCCAUUGAUACUGUAAGUCUUGAGUAUAUUUGAGGUAGCUGGAAUAAGUAGUGUAGCGGUGAAAUGCAUAGAUAUUACUUAGAACACCAAUUGCGAAGGCAGGUUACCAAGAUAUAACUGACGCUGAGGGACGAAAGCGUGGGGAGCGAACAGGAUUAGAUACCCUGGUAGCCCACGCCGUAAACGAUGCUAACUCGUUUUUGGGCUUUAGGGUUCAGAGACCAAGCGAAAGUGAUAAGUUAGCCACCUGGGGAGUACGCUCGCGAGAGUGAAACUCAAAGGAAUUGACGGGGGCCCGCACAAGCGGUGGAUUAUGUGGUUUAAUUCGAUGAUACGCGAGGAACCUUACCAAGACCUAAAUGGGAAUUGACAGCUUUAGAAAUAGAGCUUUCUUCGGACAAUUUUCAAGGUGCUGCAUGGUUGUCGUCAGCUCGUGCCGUGAGGUGUUAGGUUAAGUCCUGCAACGAGCGCAACCCCUGUCACUAGUUGCCAUCAUUCAGUUGGGGACUCUAGUGAGACUGCCUACGCAAGUAGAGAGGAAGGUGGGGAUGACGUCAAAUCAUCACGGCCCUUACGUCUUGGGCCACACACGUAAUACAAUGGCCGGUACAGAGGGCAGCUACACAGCGAUGUGAUGCAAAUCUCGAAAGCCGGUCUCAGUUCGGAUUGGAGUCUGCAACUCGACUCUAUGAAGCUGGAAUCACUAGUAAUCGCGCAUCAGCCAUGGCGCGGUGAAUACGUUCCCGGGCCU